rnacentral:rRNA from 1 species
AUUGAACGCUGGCGGCAUGCUUUACACAUGCAAGUCGAACGGCAGCGCGGGCUUCAGCCUGGCGGCGAGUGGCGAACGGGUGAGUAAUACAUCGGAACGUGCCCAGUAGUGGGGGAUAGCUCGGCGAAAGCCGGAUUAAUACCGCAUACGACCUGAGGGUGAAAGCGGGGGAUCUUCGGACCUCGCGCUAUUGGAGCGGCCGAUGGCAGAUUAGCUAGUUGGUGGGGUAAAGGCCUACCAAGGCGACGAUCUGUAGCUGGUCUGAGAGGACGACCAGCCACACUGGGACUGAGACACGGCCCAGACUCCUACGGGAGGCAGCAGUGGGGAAUUUUGGACAAUGGGCGAAAGCCUGAUCCAGCAAUGCCGCGUGUGUGAUGAAGGCCUUCGGGUUGUAAAGCACUUUUGGCGGGAACGAAAAGGACUGUGCCAAUACCACGGUUCGAUGACGGUACCCGCAGAAUAAGCACCGGCUAACUACGUG